GUGUGUCAGACAACAAGAGAGCAGGGCAGAGACCAGACCACGGCUCCAGCCUGGGGCCUCCUGGACAGCUGCCCCCGCAACUCAGCUCCCCCAGCGCCGCUCACCUCUGGGGCAGAAGGAAAUCUAUUUUCCCAAACCCCAGUCGGUAAACAGACACUUCCUCCUACUGGGUGCGCACCCCAAGUGCCCCAAACCACAGUGAUGUCACUAUUUCCCCGGUGACCUCACAACAUGCCACAGUGGAAAAUGACCGUGAGCCCCACAGGGGUGGGCCUUGAGCUUCAGAGUCCUAGCCCCACAGUCAGUAGCUCGGCAGAGGGGGGACAAACGCCCAAAGCCCCGGGGCUGUGAAGGACGCCUGCCAGACUCAGCACCAGCGGGGAGGGCUGUGCGCCCAUCACAGGUGAGUCAACUCCGGUGCGACAGCCUCCAUCCUCUGCCCUGGAGAGCUGGACUCUAAAGAUGUCUCCAGCCGUGGCCAGUGAGUCACUUCACAUUACCGCAUGAGCCAGUGCCACCUCCCACCUUCCUCCCCGUGAAGAUGUUCACCUGAGUCAGCACAUCGCACAUUCAUCAGGACGCGCAGUCCCAGCAUUUCUAAGAAAGAGGAAAACCAUAGCCCAGAGGAGGAGGAAGUCUUCUAAAGAGAGGGCCCGCGUCCGCAGCGAGGACAGCGCCCCGGUGACACUAGCUCUGGCGGACCACCAGUGUUCUAUAUAAUUCACUCAUUUGGACUCGAGCCAGACCGUCUGAGGGUGUCUCUGCGUUACCCUCACAGAGUUACAUUUUCUGAAGAUUA